ACCAGUCCUCCCCUUCCCAUCAGUCCAUCCCCAGGGAUGUCCAAGGGCCCCAAGGGAGCGAUGUCACUGGAGAAGGAUAGGGCUAAGGAUCUACAUUUGCAUUGAUUGCCCUGGCUAUGCCGUGUCUGUAGUGGAUUAUGAUGUAAUUUGAUGCAUUUUUGAUAAAAAAAUAAAUAAAUAAAUAAAAACCAAAAAACAGAGCAUCUCAUGGAAAAAUGUUGACCGUGAUGGAGUGGUGAGACAUGCCAGCAAUGGUUACCUCAUCUUAAACAAUCUUUUAUUAAAUAUUGUGUAUUGGUUGGAGUAACCUAUUCAGAUAUAAAGAAUGUCAAACCGUCAGAAGCCCCAUCAGCUGUGCAAGAUCAUUCACAUCUUUUCCUUGAUUUAAACAGUUUUUUGUUUUUUUUUACCAUUACGUUUACAUAUCCCUAUAUUUAACAAAUAUGUAUUUGUGAUGUGUGAAAAAUAAAAUUAAGUGUAGAAAAUCACUCAUCGGGGGGCGGAGCUUGACCGCCAUGCAGACAUGUCGCAGCUACCCGGAGCUCCGAUCAAGAGGCCGACAAAUACACCCAACUUGCGGCAAUCCAGCCAAGUUAAAUGGGUACCUCAACUACCCACCCCACGGAGCACCCAGUGGGCAAAGGCACUAUGCACCAUCCGGGCGCACUUACUGAGG